UACGUAGGGUCCGAGCGUUGUCCGGAGUUACUGGGCGUAAAGCGCGCGCAGGCGGCUGUCCAAGCCCGGCGUGAAAGCCCCCGGCUCAACCGGGGAACGUCGUCGGGGACUGGGGGGGGCUUGAGGGUGGCAGGGGUCGGUGGAAUUCCCGGUGUAGUGGUGAAAUGCGUAGAGAUCGGGAGGAACACCCGUGGCGAAGGCGGCCGACUGGGCCAACCCUGACGCUGAGGCGCGAAGGCGUGGGGAGCGA
rnacentral:rRNA from 1 species